ensembl:lncRNA novel transcript
AAAGGAUAAAGAAAAUUGGGGCUAAAGUUCCCUGCUCACCUCCUAACAGAGAUUGAGCAGGUAUCUGUGAAAACAUCCUUUAAAAAAGCAGUUAGUUUUCCAUGUCAUGAUGGCUGCUCCUGAAGAAGUUAAAAUGUGCUGGUGUUGGCUCAGGAGUGAUCGUCACCCACAGGAAAUUAACUGGAGGAAGAUUCUAGGAGGCUCAGUGCUAUGCAGGAGCCUGUUACCACAGCCACCAAUAAGCUAACAGCGGAAGCUGCUGCCUAAAACUAUUCUUUUUAACAUCCAAGAUUUUGAAAAUAGUUCAUCCUUUCACUAUGCUAUUAAUAAAAAUUCAUAAUACAAUUUC